GGAAACCUGAUCUGGAAAGGGUGUGAUACAGGCCCAGGCAGCCAGAAGGGGCUCCCAAGUACCUUCAGCUCUAUCCCAGAAGUGGGAGAAACCAGAUGGUGACCCAACUAGCCUAGACAGCCUGAGGCACACAAGCUGACGGUACAGCCCAGCUACUCAAAGGAAAGAACUGUCACUUCUCUAAGAACAUUUUGAACGGUGAGGACCAGGCACUGGGUGACAUUUGGUGCCAGAGAGUCAGGAAGGAAGAGGAGCAGCAAAUGACCUCAACAAAACAGAUAACACCCUUGUCAUGACUGCCUGCUCUCCUGAUCAAGCCAUCCUGUGCUCUGGUGGCUCUCACAAGUUAGGUGUCAACUGAGGGAACCCAGGCCAGGAAGGGGUUUGUCAUCUGACCCUGCCCAGGGUCCUUCAGAGUUCCCUGCCCACAGACUUGGGAAACCCCAGAGCAGCUAUGCUCAGGAGAGAGCUGAGGACGGUCCCAGGGCGAGGGUCAAUAAAAGUGGACAGUCUGAAAACCAACGGUCUGUAACUGAGCCCUUCUCCCAGCUGGCGCAGGUGCCUUCCACACAGCGUUCAUUAAAACUCCACCUCAUUGUAACUGCA
ensembl:antisense